UACGUCAACAUCCUUAACGAAUUUAACCCAUUCUAACCUAUUGACCAUCGACUUUGAUAACCGUAAGCACGCUUUCGGCACCAGAGCAACGAUCAGAGAUCAGACAGGUAGCCCCGAAAGGUAUCCGUUGCAAUCCUCAAUCCCGAUCAUCACAUCUGCCGAAGGCUAUAACACUUCAAUCGAAAUCGAAGCUACAUUCCUCCAGCCAUUUUAUGAUAACCAAAAUUGAUGUUAACCAACCACACGGACAAGUACACCCAAAGUACACGAAUAUGCAGGCAUGAAGGCGUUUAACUCCUCACGCUCCACAGAAUCAUGCCCAAAAGGCUGAUUACCCGCAGGUACGACUGGCUUCAAUCGUUUCCCUUUCAACAAUUUCACGUACUGUUUAACUCUCUUUUCAAAGUUCUUUUCAUCUUUCCCUCACGGUACUUGUUCGCUAUCGGUCUCUCGCCGUUAUUUAGCCUUAGGAGAAAUUUACCUCCCAUUUUAAGCUGCAGUCCCAAACAACUUGACUCUUUGAAAGCGUAUCGUAAAGCGAAUCUGAUCAACCGAACGGGAUUCUCACCCUCCGUGAUGCCUUAUCCCAAAGGACUUGGACUGAUCAGAAACACAGAAAACGCCUCUUCAAAUUACAACUCGGUCAGGUAGAACCCGACAGAUUUAAAAUUUGAGCUUGUCCCUCUUCACUCGCAGUUACUAGGGGAAUCAUUGUUAUUUUCUUUUCCUCCGCUUAUUGAUAUCG
rnacentral:rRNA from 1 species